rnacentral:misc_RNA from 1 species
GAAAUGCGAUAAUUAAUGUGAAUUGCAGAAUUCAGUGAAUCAUCGAGUCUUUGAACGCACAUUGCGCCCCCUGGUAUUCCGGGGGGCAUGCCUGUCCGAGCGUCAUUGCUGCCCUCAAGCACGGCUUGUGUGUUGGGCUUCCGUCCCUGGCAACGGGGACGGGCCCAAAAGGCAGUGGCGGCACCAUGUCUGGUCCUCGAGCGUAUGGGGCUUUGUCACCCGCUCCCGUAGGUCCAGCUGGCAGCUAGCCUCGCAACCAAUCUUUUUAACCAGGUUGACCUCGGAUCGGGUAGGGAUACCCGCUGAACUUAAGC